rnacentral:rRNA from 1 species
AAGGCCUUCGGGUGGUAAAUGAAGUUUGUCAGGGAAGAAAUCUUUUGGGAUAAUACCCAGGAAGGAUGGGUGUCCAUGAAGCAUAAGCACCGGAUAUAUAUGUCACAGCAGCCGGUAUAAUAUAUAGGGUGCGAGUUAUAAUCGGAAUUUGGGGUAUAAAGCGUGUACAGGGAUAUAUAAGUGACAGAUGAAAAAUCCCGGGUCUCAACCAGGGAAUUGCAUUUGUGACUGCAUGGUUAGAGUAGGACAGAAGGGGAGAGAUUUCAGUGGGGCGCAGAGAAGUGUGGAUAUUUGGGGGGGCACACCAGGGGAGAAGGCAAUUCCGUGGGCCAGUAGAGACGGUCAUGCAAGAAAGCGGGAGAGCACACAAGAUUAGAUCCCGGUAGAGCACACGCCAAAAAAGAUGUCAUAGGGUAGGAGGUAUCGACUCGUUCAGU